rnacentral:rRNA from 1 species
GACGAACGCUGGCGGCGUGCUUAACACAUGCAAGUCGAACGGAAAGGCCCUGCUUUUGUGGGGUGCUCGAGUGGCGAACGGGUGAGUAACACGUGAGUAACCUGCCCUUGACUUUGGGAUAACUUCAGGAAACUGGGGCUAAUACCGGCUAGGAGCUCCUGCUGCAUGGUGGGGGUUGGAAAGUUUCGGCGGUUGGUGAUGGACUCGCGGCUUAUCAGCUUGUUGGGGGGGUAGUGGCUUACCAAGGCUUUGACGGGUAGCCGGGCUGAUCGGGUGACCGGCUCAAUUAGGCUGGGACUGAGACCCGGCCUACUACGGGACGGAGCGGAGCGGUGGAGAACACUGGAGGAUGAACCAAAAUGUAGCCACGCAACGCGGCGGAAGACGGCAUGCCGUUUGGAUUCUAAAUCCGCCUGAGCCGGAAUGUGAGUGACAGUAAUGGGUGAAUAAGCACCGGCUAACUACGUG